rnacentral:ncRNA from 1 species
AAGUGGGGACGACCCCACCGCUCCACCAACAAUUGAGGACGGCCUCG